rnacentral:rRNA from 1 species
GACGAACGCUGGCGGCGUGCCUAAUACAUGCAAGUCGAACGCAGUGGGGACGGGUGCGGAACAAGUGGGUAACCUCCCAUCAGAGGGGAUAACACUUGGAAACAGGUGCUAAACCGCUACUGGUGGAUGGACCCGCUGUGCAUUAGCUAGUGGGUGGGGUAACGGCUCACCAAGGCCACGAUGCAUAGCUGACCUGAGAGGGUGAUCGGCAACACUGGGACUGAGACACGGCCCAGACUCCUACGGGAGGCAGCAGUAGGGAAUCUUCGGCAAUGGACGAAAGUCUGACCGAGCAACGCCGCGUGAGUGAAGAAGGCUUUCGGAUCGUAAAGCUCUGUUGUUAGAGAAGCGGUAUCUAACCAGAAAGCCACGGCUAACUACGUGCCAGCAGCCGCGGUAAUAC